GCUUUCAACAGUUUAUUUACAUAUUUAAUAUUCACAUCCUAGUAUUGUUUGUUGUUCCUAAUAAAGAGUAUUAUAUCUCAUUCUCUAAUGUCAGAACUUUAGAAUUCUAGUAAGGUCCAGAGCCGUGCACAGGAGCGUGGGUUAUGAAGCUGUUCUUUAAAAUUUUGGGGAAACCCUAUUCCAAAAUGACAGCUGUGCCCUCCACUCGUUUUGGGAACUCCCAAGGAGAGUCCCGGGGGACAUUUUCAAAAGAGCAGCUAUAGCGUUUAACAAGCACUUAAUUGAUGUCUCCUUUUGAAUAGCGCUUCCCCUGAUUCAAGCAGCUCGGCACCGCAACAGUAAAAACAUCAGUAAGUGAAGAAGCUGGCGACACUGACAAACAGAAAGCAGAGCCCGUCGAUGGCUUUUUUCCUGAGUUUUAAGUGGAGAGGCUGGCUGCCUGUCUUUAGGGAGAAACACUCUCUAUCACCGUUCAUUCAAUGCGGCUGAUGGAUUAGGCCGAGUUCAAGGGUUAAGUAUGGAGACCAGUAAAGGUCUCCCUCGGGGAAAGUGCCAGAGCCCAGGCCUGGUGAAAAGCAAUAGGAAUUGAUGAGCUCUGUCAGGGAGGAUGUGCGGGAGAUGCAUGGUGGCUGCAGGGGUUUAAUGGGGGUAUCAGACCUAAGCAAAACAGAGUGUAUAAAUCAAUUAGCUACAGCUGGCACAGGGGAAAGUGCUGAAAUUUAUCCCCAAUAGUUAUCUUGCCUUUGGGAGAAAGGUAACCAACCAUCUUCUUUAGUUGAUUCAGGAUUUGUUGAAUUUGAGAUUCUACGAAAUCAGGAAAUGUUAGGAAGUGAAGUCAUAUUUGGUACAUAUAUUUAUUAUAGGAAUUUAUUUUCUAACCUUGAAAAGUGGACUUUAAGGGGAAGGAAUAGGAAUCCCCCUACCACUGCCACCACCAAAAAUUAAAAGCUCAAGUUUUCCCGGGUUUGUUUGUUUCCUCCCAAAUAUAUAUGUGUAUAGCUCCAUUUGAGUGUAGAAAAUUGUUAGGAAAUAUGCUGGCGUGUCAGUAUAGUUCUUGGCCAGCGGGAGGCUUGAGAAUAGCUCAUAAAGCAUACAUUUAUCCCAUUUUUUAAAAAAGCAAAUUACCUUGUUUCUCUAGCCAGUUCAUGGCUUAAAGAUCAGUCUUUUUCUGCCAGUAUUUUCUCUCUUCAUUGCCUAUAAUAGCUUCAAAUUAUGCCCAUGUGUUUGUUUUUGUGGAAAAAAGGGAACACUCAGAAUGGUAUAGCCAAGACAGAGAGCUACCUCUUCUUGCAGAGUCUCAGCUCCAGCGUCACAAAGCAGGUGUGGGGUUGUGAGACAAUAGCUUAAUAACUAGCACAGUCUACCCCUUUGGCUUCUCAAUGUCCAUACACAGCCUUCUACAUGGAUUUGAACUUCAUUCAGCAAUAGUAACAACUUUAUUCUUCCACUUAGAAGAUGCAGCCAUCCCCUAUACAAAUAAAGAUUUCUCAUUCUCUCCCCCAAGGAGGAGACACAAAGUCCCAGUGGUCAUAAUAUUAACUUCUGGAAGAUCAAGUAAGCACAUUUCACCCUAUUCCUGGAAGAGGAAGACAGACUGGCUAGGAACGUCAGGACUUGAGGGAUGUCCCAGCAGUGAGUUCCCGUGGGUUUUUUUCCUCCCUUUCUCCCUUCCUCUCUCCCUUCCCUCCACGGUCUCAGUGCUAGAGAAGGCCAUAACAAUUACAGGCAUAGAUAAAAACAAGCAAGCAAGCAAACAAGAAAAACCGACUUUCUCUUGCCAAAGCCUGGGAAAAGGGCAGCCCUUGCAUAUGGAACCCUUUUGACUAUACCCACUGUGCACCAGGCAGACACCACAAAAGAAGCUUUCCAUUACCUCUGCCAGCUAGAUGCUAUGACCUUGGAGAUUGUCAUGCAGAGCCCUGUUGACCUGUGGGGUGGAACCCAGUUGCCCAUCCAGGCCCUGCACUAAGUGAACGUCAGCAAAGAGGCAGCUAUGGAGAUUGGUGGCGAGGAGUCCUGCUCACUGUUCCCAGAUAGCAAAGAGCCAGAGCCUCAUCUCAUCCCAGUUUAAGGGUGGAGGGAAGAUCCUGGAAAGGAGAAGCUGAAAAAGGGAUUCUUUAAAUCUGUGUUUGAGGUCCUGGGCACACUCUCCCCCUCCUCCCUUCAAUCAGCCCGUGCGUAUUACUGACUAGAAUCAAUACAGCAAAAGCUUUGAGAAAUAAACUGUGAUAUAAAACACUACCCAGGUCUCAAAUUAGCCAACACCAAGAUGACACAGAUGCUGGAAUUAUUCGACAUAGAUUUUAAAACUGCCAUCAUAAAAAAAUCCUCUAAUAAGCAAUUAUGCGCACUGGAAAAAGAGAAAGUCUUGGCAGAGAAACAGAAGAUAUAAAGAACCAGAUGGAGAUUUCAGAACUGAAAAAUGACAGUAACCUAAAUUUAAAACUCAAUGGGCUCAAUAGGUGAAUGGAAAUGAUAGGAAGGAAUUGGUGAACUUGAGGAUAAGUCAGUAGGAAUUAUUCAGUCUGAAAAGAGAAAAUAGAUUUAAAAAAAACUGAACAGUACCUCAGAGACAAUCACGAAAAAUAUAACAUCCACAUCAUCAGAGUUCCAGAAGAAGAGAAAGAAUAUGGGACUGAAAGAAUAUUUGAAGAAAUAAUGGCUGAAAACUUUCAGAAUUUGAGCAAGGAUAUUAAACUUAUCAGGAAGCAACAAACAUCCAAAGAAUAAGUUGCCUAAAUUUAUGUAUACACUGAGUAAUCGUAACAUUGAUUCUUAUAUAAAAUAGAAAUAGGAAAAGAAGAGGAGACAAAUUCGUGUAUGUAUGCAAGGAAAGGAGAAAAUAUGCAUAGCCAAUACAUUCUUUGCUUCUGUAGCUUGGUCAUGAGACCAUAGUUGAUAUUUAUAACUUUCCUAUUAUACUACCCAUUCUAUGUUCCCUUUGUUCUCUAGCAUGUUUAUUAUAGACCCAAUUUCUUUAAUAGCUCCAGUACUAUUCAGACUCCUUUAUUUCUUCUUGUAUUAGUUUUUAAUAGGAUGUGUUUUUCUAGGAAUCUGUUCAUUUCAUCUAAAUCAUACAAUGUAUUACUAUAAAGUCAUUUGUCUUAUUUCGUUAAAAGUCUACAGGAUUUGGAAUGAUGUAUUCUUUUUCAUUCCUGAUAUUGGUAAUUUUUGUUUUUCUCUUCCUUGAUCAGCGUUGUUAGAGGUAUAUCAGUGUCAUAAUGUUUUCAAAGAAUCAACUUCUGAUUUGGCUGACUUUAUAUUUGCUUUGUAUUUCAUUAACCAUUAAUUUCUUCUACUUUCAUGAGUUUAAGUUGCUGUUAUUUUUCUAGCCUUUUAAUUUGAUAGCUUAGAUCAUUGAUCUCAAUAUUUUUCUAACAUAGCAUUUAAAGCUGUAAAUUUCUCCUUAAUUAUUGCCUUGGGUAUAUUCCCAAGUUUUGCUGUUAUAUUUUUAUUAUCCUUAAGUUUAAAAUAUAUCCUAACUUGCACUGUAAUAUCUUCUUUAACCUGCAGUUAUAUAAAAGUAUACUGUUUACUUUUGACAGUUUUUAAAAUUCCCCUUUUCUUAUUGAUUUCUGAUUUGAUUCCACUGUGGUCAGAAAAUAUACUCCAUGUGAUUUCGAUAUUUUGAAAUUUAUUGAGCUUAUACGGCCCAGUAAAAGGUCUAUUUUGUUAAAUAUUCUGUGUGCACUAAAAAAGCAUACAUUCUGCAAUUGUAGAUUUAAUGAUCUUACUAGGUCAAUUAAGUAAGGUUAGUUCCCUUGGCACUUUUAAUUUUAAUCUAAAUGUCCCCCCUGCUUGUUUCUCUCUAAAAUAGGCAUCUCUAUUUCUUGUUUAUUUUUUUCUAUAGCCUUUAUCAUUUCUGUCAUAGUUAAAUUCAUGAUCCUAGUUUAAAUAAAAAAUAGUUUAAACAUAUUAUUGAAUUUGUGAGAAUCAAAGAGAAACCAUGCAACAGGCCUUUCUUGCUGUGCCUCCAAAGAAUUUUUAGAGAAAUCUGAAGAGACACAAUUCCCCAUCUGGGAAUUUUUCAGAAAGGGGAAGCCAGCAGUCUUCUAGUAGCUAGAGUGGUUUUAGCAGUCCGGCCUGGAGACAGAAGAACAGAGUAAAUGACGUCCUGCAGUCCCUUCAGGUGUAACAAAUCUAAGAGACCAGACGUGCAGGCAACCCUGCUGAAGUGGUUCCAUGGGAAGAAGUACCAGACUUCUGUACAUACAGCAUGUCAGAUGCCUUCCUUUCCUGUGAAACCCAGAGAGAUCACAUGUGUGAGGAUCCAGGGGUAUUUGGAGGCGAUGGCCAGCAGCAUGUUAGGAGCCAAAGGGCAAAUACAGCUGUCAUGUUAAUGGAGGACAACCAGGGUGGAGUGUGCUGGACCAGGACUCGCUUCGGUCGUGGUUCUGCUGAUGCCUCCUCUGAGGCCUCUCACGUCCACUCAAGCAGCAGAGUUUCAGCCUGAUUUACACAAAUGCGAGGGCAUUUUAAGGCAGUGCUUUUGUCAGAGGUUAGAAGCAUGGAUUUGUAGAGAUUUGCCAUUUGCAUUCAAGCAAUAGUCUUCAUGGCUUACUUAAGGGACAUUGAGCAGAGACUAAAGGGCAGCUCACAGGUUAUUCACUUCUCAAAGCCGUGAGAAGAAAAUGUGGGCCUGACAUAAGAGUUAAGAGGUACAGGAGGAGCGAUGGGGGAAGAACAGCCUGAAAAUGAUAGUGAACCCCAGAAUCCCGUUCCGGGAGGAAGUUGCUAGAGCCGCAGCAGUGCUCUCCACGGCCUUUGUCAGACUGUAGCACAAGUUCGUAAUGUUAGUGCUGCGUGCUGCGGUGUGUCGACGAGGCUGCCGCCAAGAGGGGACCCACCCUCAGGCCUCCCUGCCGAUCUGGCCAGAGCAUCAGAAUCCCAGCAUGCCUCUUAACCUCAGUCCAGAAGCUCAGAGCGCGAAGGGACCCAGAGAUCAUCCCGCCUCUUUCUGCUCUACUGCUGAGGACACUGAGGUGCGAAGAGGUUAAGUUACAUCUUUAAAGUGUUAAAUGCACAUUAAACAUGACCCUUAAAGGCACGACAUAGCAAGUUCUUGGGAACGAAAGGCCGGCCCGUGUAGGAAAGGCCUUUUUUCUUCCACUGUCUGUGACUUGAGCACGCAGACAUUAGGAUUAGAGACCUAAUACUGGGUACCGUUAUUUGCUUAAUUGGAAGAAAACACAAGGGUCAUUUGCCUGUUAAAUGGGUCAUAUUCCCUGUUGGAAGGCAAAGAGCUUUGGGAAAUGUUACAUUCCCUCUCCAGCCCCGAAAUCAGAAGCUAAAGAAUGAUCUUCUCUGGCCCUGCGUGUUUCUGACUUGUUUGACAAGCUCUAGUGAGCUACCAGAUGUUGAAAUUCUUUUCAGCCUGGAAUAAUUUAUUUAUCUGUUUAUGUAUUUCUCCAGGAAAGUAUCUAUUGAGUUCUUGAUACUCAUUUGCAAGGAGCUCCUGGGGGAACAGUAGCAGUGUAUAGUGUUACUCGAAUGUUUGAUUUUUUUUUUCCCCCCAAGUCUGUCUGCUUUUAUUUCAGUCCUAAAGAGCUGGGAAAUAAAAUGCAACUUGUUCCUCCUCCCCUCCCCCGCCUUUAAAGGAGACCGUUUAAAACAUGUGGCAGAAAAUGAGCCAUGCAGACUUGGCUGAAUGUAUGAACCCGUGAAUUUAUUUUUUCUUUUAUGCUUUGAUCCUCAUUUCCAACCAUAAAAAUUAUUAGUAGCACUUAAGUGUUGAACAUUUUUCACCUGAGUGAUGUGAAACACUCUUGGCUAGUAAUACUGGUUAUAAAGUCAGUACUUCGCGUGGGGAAUGGACUUCACGAAGAGCAACUGGAUGUUAUUAGGUGCACAAAAUGCUGAUGCCUUUCUUUCUCUACCUGGGUAUCCCAUGGGCGACAGAGGCUGGGUAAACCUCUUGGAUGCUAAUAAAUUACGAGAAUUUAUUUGUA